CCCCUUUUACUUUCUACCUUUACAAUUCCCACCCUCAAAGCUAAUGAAGUAAAGUUUUCCACGUGUUACUAUUGCUUUUGUCUUCUUUGAAAGGGAGAAAGUGGGAGAAAGAGAGAUGGGAACUCCGGUGUCCCCUCCGACGACCCGUGACGGCCUAAUCCAGCGCGUACACAACCCGCGACUAUAUAAGGGAGAUUGGUGAACCUAACGGUGGUGUUCGUACGGUCAGAUGAGUGACGUCAGUGGUUUUAAUGGAGUAAAUAGUAGCGGAGGCUAGGGUUUCUUAUUCUGUAUAUUUACAUGACGGUUGAUUAACUAGGGUUACGCCAUAAUAUUGUAGAAAUGGUGGUGGUUUGCUCACACCCGGUGUAUGAAGAUGAUCUAUGGCAGGAAAUUUUAUCCAUUUUAUAAACAACUAUGUGCCUAAAACCCAAGAUCCCUGCUCUGUGGUUUUUUGUGGGUGGCCGGAAAGUUGAAGGUGGCCGGAUUUCUUCUUACAAGCUGGCAUGAACACGGGGUGGUACCACCAGCCCAUCAGUUGUACCGCAGCAGUUUAGGAAGAGAGAGGAACACGUUGCAAAAAAUUGAACGUGGCAAAAAACUAAAUUAUGAAGACCCCAUACUUAUCCUUUCCUUGCCAAGAGUGGAAUAUGAAGGAGAAAGAAAGGGAGUAUGUUGAGGAUAUUGAUGUAAAAGUAUUUUUUUUAUAUUGUACAUAAAUAUGUUUUAAAUAUUAACUAUUUGAAUUAUAUUGGAUAAGUUGAUGCAAAAGUAUUUUUAUGUACACUUGGUACUUGAAACUCAAGUGCAUCAAGAGAUGGUCAUUCUGGAA